GGCUCUGUGGCGCAAAGGAUAGCGCAUUGGACUUCUAAUUCAAAGGUUGUGGGUUCGAGUCCCACCAGAGUCG